rnacentral:rRNA from 1 species
GAUGAACGCUGGCGGCGUGCCUAAUACAUGCAAGUCGAGCGAACGGACGAGAAGCUUGCUUCUCUGAUGUUAGCGGCGGACGGGUGAGUAACACGUGGAUAACCUACCUAUAAGACUGGGAUAACUUCGGGAAACCGGAGCUAAUACCGGAUGAUAUUUUGAACCGCAUGGUUCAAAAGUGAAAGACGGUCUUGCUGUCACUUAUAGAUGGAUCCGCGCUGCAUUAGCUAGUUGGUAAGGUAACGGCUUACCAAGGCAACGAUGCAUAGCCGACCUGUGAGGGGGAUCGGCCACACUGGAACUGAGACACGGUCCAGACUCCGACGGGAGGCAGCAGUAGGGAAUCUGCCGCAAGGGGCGAAAGCCUGACGAAGCAACGCAGCGUGAGUGAUGAAGGUCUUCGGAUCGUAAAACUCUGUUAUUAGGGAAGAACAUAUGUGUAAGUAACUGUGCACAUCUUGACGGUACCGAAUCAGAAAGCCACGGCUAACUACGU